UUAUAAGGGCACAGGGUGGAUGCCUUGGCACUAGGAGCCGAAGAAGGACGUGACAAACGACGAUAUGCCUUGGGUAGCUGUAAGUAAGCGAUGAUCCAGGGAUUUCCGAAUGGGGGAACCCAACAGGUACUACCUGUUACCCGCAUCUGUUAAGGAUGUGAGGAGGAAGACGCAGUGAACUGAAACAUCUAAGUAGCUGCAGGAAGAGAAAG
rnacentral:rRNA from 1 species